rnacentral:rRNA from 1 species
CCCUUAGAUGUUCUGGGCCGCACGCGCGCUACACUGACGAAUGCAACGAGCUUAUAACCUUGGCCGAAAGGUCUGGGUAAUCUCCAAAUUUCGUCGUGAUGGGGAUAGAUUAUUGCAAUUAUUAAUCUUCAACGAGGAAUGCCUAAUAAGCGCAAGUCAUCAGCUUGCGUUGAUUACGUCCCUGCCCUUUGUACACACCGCCCGUCGCUCCUACCGAUUGAAUGGUCCGGUGAAGCGUUCGGACCGUGGCCUUUGGACGGUUCGCCGUCUGUUGGCUGCGGGAAGUUCGUUAAACCUUAUCAUUUAGAGGAAGGAGAANUCGUANCA